rnacentral:rRNA from 1 species
AGAGUUUGAUCCUGGCUCAGGACGAACGCUGGCGGCGUGCUUAACACAUGCAAGUCGAACGGUGAUCUCCGCUUGCGGGGUGAUCAGUGGCGAACGGGUGAGUAACACGUGAGUAAUCUGCCCUUCACUUCGGGAUAACCGCCGGAAACGGCGGCUAAUACCGAAUACGACCAUCCCUCGCAUGAGGUGCUGGUGGAAAGUUUUGUCGGUGGAGGAUGUGCUCGCGGCCUAUCAGCUUGUUGGUGGGGUAAUGGCCUACCAAGGCUUCGACGGGUAGCCGGCCUGAGAGGGUGACCGGCCACACUGGGACUGAGACACGGCCCAGACUCCUACGGGAGGCAGCAGUGGGGAAUAUUGGACAAUGGGCGAAAGCCUGAUCCAGCAACGCCGCGUGAGGGAUGACGGCCUUCGGGUUGUAAACCUCUUUCAGUACCGACGAAGCGCCUCUAGAGGUGGUGACGGUAGGUACAGAAGAAGGACCGGCCAACUACGUGCCAGCAGCCGCGGUAAUACGUAGGGUCCGAGCGUUGUCCGGAAUUAUUGGGCGUAAAGGGCUCGUAGGCGGUCUGUUGCGUCGGGAGUGAAAUCUUACAGCUUAACUGUGAACUUGCUUUCGAUACGGGCAGACUUGAGGCAUUCAGGGGAGAACGGAAUUCCUGGUGUAGCGGUGAAAUGCGCAGAUAUCAGGAGGAACACCGGUGGCGAAGGCGGUUCUCUGGGAAUGUCCUGACGCUGAGGAGCGAAAGUGUGGGGAGCGAACAGGAUUAGAUACCCCGGUAGUCC